AUUCCAGCUCCAGUAGCGUAUAUUAAAGCUGUUGCAGUUAAAAAGCUCGUAGUUGGAUCUUGGGCCCAGGCCUGCGGUCCGCCGUGAGGCGAGUACUGCAGUCCUGGCCUUCCUCUCGGUUUUCGCCCGGUGCUCUUAACUGAGUGCCAGGAGAGGCCGGAACGUUUACUUUGAAAAAAUUGGAGUGUUCAAAGCAGGCCUCGCGCCUGAACAGCAGAGCAUGGAAUAAUGGAAUAGGACCUCGGUUCUAUUGCGUUGGUUUUCGGAACUCGAGGUAAUGAUUAAGAGGGACUGACGGGGGCAUUCGUAUUGCGGUGUGAGAGGUGAAAUUCUUGGAUCGCCGCAAGACGACCGACUGCGAAAGCAUUUGCCAAGAAUGUUUUCAUCA
rnacentral:rRNA from 1 species